GAUGAACGCUAGCUACAGGCUUAACACAUGCAAGUCGAGGGGAAACGAUAUUGGAAGCUUGCUUCCGAUAGGCGUCGACCGGCGCACGGGUGAGUAACGCGUAUCCAACCUGCCCACCACUUGGGGAUAACCUUGCGAAAGUAAGACUAAUACCCAAUGACGUCUCUAGAAGACAUCUGAAAGAGAGUAAAGAUUUAUCGGUGAUGGAUGGGGAUGCGUCUGAUUAGCUUGUUGGCGGGGUAACGGCCCACCAAGGCGACGAUCAGUAGGGGUUCUGAGAGGAAGGUCCCCCACAUUGGAACUGAGACACGGCCCAAACUCCUACGGGAGGCAGCAGUGAGGAAUGUUGGUCAAUGGGCGAGAGCCUGAACCAGCCAAGUAGCGUGCAGGAUGACGGCCCUAUGGGUUGUAAACUGCUUUUAUAAGGGAAUAAAGUGAGUCUCGUGAGACUUUUUGCAUGUACCUUAUGAAUAAGGACCGGCUAAUUCCGUGCCAGCAGCCGCCGUAA
rnacentral:rRNA from 1 species